GCAGGCGCGAAACCUUUACACUGUACGCAAGUGCGAUAAGGGGACUCCGAGUGUGAAGGCAUAGAGCCUUCACUUUUGUACACCGUAAGGUGGUGUACGAAUAAGGGCUGGGCAAGACCGGUGCCAGCCGCCGCGGUAAUACCGGCAGCCCGAGUGAUGGCCGAUAUUAUUGGGCCUAAAGCGUCCGUAGCUGGCCGGACAAGUCCGUUGGGAAAUCUGUUCGCUUAACGAGCAGGCGUCCAGCGGAAACUGUUCGGCUUGGGACCGGAAGACCUGAGGGGUACGUCCGGGGUAGGAGUGAAAUCCUGUAAUCCUGGACGGACCACCGGUGGCGAAAGCGCCUCAGGAGGACGGAUCCGACAGUGAGGGACGAAAGCUAGGGUCUCGAACCGGAUUAGAUACCCGGGUAGUCCUAGCUGUAAACGAUGCCCGCUAGGUGUGGCGCAGGCUACGAGCCUGCGCUGUGCCGUAGGGAAGCCGAGAAGCGGGCCGCCUGGGAAGUACGUCUGCAAGGAUGAAACUUAAAGGAAUUGGCGGGGGAGCACUACAACCGGAGGAGCCUGCGGUUUAAUUGGAGUCAACGCCGG
rnacentral:rRNA from 1 species